GACCUGUUCUUGGAUGCCUUCCUCCAACUGCCUUCCUCUCGUUCCCAGAGUUUGGCUUUCCUCAAAUUGAUUCAGAGAGUGCGAUUCCGCCUCAGCUUCCGCUUCCAACCUAUAUCACCCGCACCAGAAAUAGCUACAAGCGUGUACAACAAGUAUUUUCCCGCAGUACAUACAUCCCAUUAAACCCUGAAGUACCAGCCUCUCCCUCCAAGCCCGACAAUCCACCAGGCGGGACUCCACCAGUGACUGGGUCCAAAGGAGGACAGCCCGCCAAUCCUCCAGGCGGGACUCCACCAGUGACUGGGUCCAAAGGAGGACAGCCCGCCAAUCCACCAGGCGGGACUCCACCACAGAUGCCAAUAUGGGUAGUCAAGAUGUAAUCAGGUGAACUUGGUGACUGAGAGCUUCAGCUUCCUGGAACUGUUUACACGUUUCAAAAGUAUUAAUAAAAAAUCUGACCAUGAGAA